rnacentral:rRNA from 1 species
AACGCGAAGAACCUUACCUGGCCUUGACAUCCAGAGAACUUAGCAGAGAUGCUUUGGUGCCUUCGGGAACUCUGAGACAGGUGCUGCAUGGCUGUCGUCAGCUCGUGUUGUGAAAUGUUGGGUUAAGUCCCGCAACGAGCGCAACCCUUAUCCUUCGUUGCCAGCGGCUCGGCCGGGAACUCAAAGGAGACUGCCGGUGAUAAACCGGAGGAAGGUGGGGAUGACGUUAAGUCAUCAUGGCCCUUACGGCCAGGGCUACACACGUGCUACAAUGGCGCAUACAAAGAGAAGCGACCUCGCGAGAGCAAGCGGACCUCAUAAAGUGCGUCGUAGUCCGGAUUGGAGUCUGCAACUCGACUCCAUGAAGUCGGAAUCGCUAGUAAUCGUAGAUCAGAAUGCUACGGUGAAUACGUUCCCGGGCCUUGUACACACCGCCCGU